rnacentral:rRNA from 1 species
GACGAACGCUGGCGGCGUGCUUAACACAUGCAAGUCGAGCGGAGCGGCGAACGGGUGAGUAACGCGUGAGUAACUGCCCCCCUCUCUGGGAUAACAGUUGGAAACGGCUGCUAAUACCGGAUAGUGGGGGAUGACUCGCGUCCUAUCAGCUUGUUGGUGGGGUAGUGGCCUGCCAAGGCGACGACGGGUAGCCGGCCUGAGAGGGCGACCGGCCAAAUUGGGCGGCGAUACGGCACAACCUCGUACGGGAGGCAGUGGUGGGGAAUAUGGCACAAUGGGGGAAACUCUGAUGCAGCAACGCCGGGUGCGGGAUGACGGCCUUCGGGUUGUAAACCGCUUUCAGCCAUGACGCGGUAGUGGCAGAAGAAGCACCGGCUAACUACGUGCCAGACGCGGCGGUAAUUC